AUCCAGAUUGAUGGCCGCCGCGCAAUAAUCGAAAAUUUAAAGUUCUAUUUGUCCAAUCUUUCCUGCAGUCACGGUUGCAAACAAUGUCGUGGUUCGUGAAAUAAGACGAUAAUCAAAGUUCUGACCAGAAGCAGCAAAACAGCCAUUCGCUACUGGCCUCGUCCAUGGCAAAGCAGCUAGCGAAAACGUUCCCGAAGCUCCCGAACGUCCCUCGUUUUGUCUCAUUCCGGAUCAUCCUGUCAUCAAUUUGUCCAAGGAAAACAUAUUGUGUCAUUAUGUACAUUAUGGGCUCGAUUAUGGGUAAAUUGCGUACGAUCCGAUCCGAAGUUUAUCGCCUGAUUACGCUCACUUACUGGUCGCUAAUCCAACAAACCAAUGAUAUACACCAUCGUUUCUUAUCACCUUGGCCAUCGUGAUCGCUUCCUGCCAUCAUAGUGCAAGUGCAAACGAAAAAUCUCGGACGCCGGAGAAAAUGACAGGUUUCAUUCGGACUGUUACUUGCUGAUAUCGGAGUCGAAAUUCGUCAGGCAGGCUUCCGGAUCAUGAAGAACUGGUCAACUCUUGGGUCAACUUCAAAUUUCGCCAGGGGAAACUAGAUGACAUGAAUUAACAAAACGGUAAGUUACAUUAUGUUAUUGAUUAGCAGAAGAUGCCCAUCAUAGUGUAUUUUUUUGCUUUCACAUUUACAGGGCGAAACGUUGAAACAACACGUAAAAAGCACCUGGGGCGGAUCCAAUUUCACCAACGGAAGCACCUGGUACCAUAGGACUUUCGCAUUCUCAUCCGGAUUCCAAAACCACCUUAGCCGUUGCCUAAAAUGGCAUUCAAUCCUGAAGGAUGGGGGACACCUUAUCCCGAAGGAAGGGAAGGUCAUGUAAUUCUGUGCUGUACUGUGCAGAGUACGUCCAUGAAUCUCCAGUAGCAGCGGACCAUCCAGCUAAUCCCUGUAGGCAUGUUUAGGCCCUCGGUCGCAUAUGAUCCAGAGCAACAAAGGCGGUACAAUUAUGCUCGCAAUUAUGGUACUCAACCAGGAGCGGCUUCUACUGUUCACGUUUCCGAGGGGAACCCGAUUAUUUUUAAUUAGCCGCCAAUGAAUUUUCAGAUUACUUAUUAAUACUAUUUUAACAAAAUCGGAUGAUUUGUUUUUUUUUUAAU